rnacentral:rRNA from 1 species
GACGAACGCUGGCGGCGUGCUUAACACAUGCAAGUCGAACGGUAAGGCCCUUCGGGGUACACGAGUGGCGAACGGGUGAGUAACACGUGGGUGAUCUGCCCUGCACUUCGGGAUAAGCCGGGGAAACUGGGUCUAAUACCGGAUAGGACUCCUGGCUUCAUGGUUGGGGGUGGAAAGCUUUUGCGGUGUGGGAUGGGCCCGCGGCCUAUCAGUUUGUUGGUGGGGUAAUGGCCUACCAAGGCGACGACGGGUAGCCGGCCUGAGAGGGUGACCGGUCACACUGGGGCUGAGAUACGGCCCAGACUCCUACGGGAGGCAGCAGUGGGGAAUAUUGCACAAUGGGCGCAAGCCUGAUGCAGCGACGCCGCGUGAGGGAUGACGGCCUUCGGGUUGUAAACCUCUUUCAGCUAUGACGAAGCGCAAGUGACGGUAGUAGCAGAAGAAGGACCGGCCAACUACGUGCCAGCCGCCGCGGUAA